AACGAACGCUGGCGGCAGGCCUAACACAUGCAAGUCGAACGCCGUAGCAAUACGGAGUGGCAGACGGGUGAGUAACGCGUGGGAACAUACCCCUCGGUUCGGAAUAACUCAGGGAAACUUGAGCUAAUACCGGAUAAGUCCGAGGUUUUAAUCGACCUUGGAGAAAGAUUUAUCGCCGGAGGAUUGGCCCGCGUCUGAUUAGCUUGUUGGUGAGGUAAUGGCUCACCAAGGCGACGANCAGUAGCUGGUCUGAGAGGAUGAUCAGCCACAUUGGGACUGAGACACGGCCCAAACUCCUACGGGAGGCAGCAGUGGGGAAUAUUGGACAAUGGGCGCAAGCCUGACCCAGCAACGCCGCGUGAAGGAU
rnacentral:rRNA from 1 species